rnacentral:misc_RNA from 1 species
CACAUUGAUAUAUAGGCUUCCGAUCUUGAGUGAGAGUAGCAUUGGAUGCAUCCGCUCCAAUGAGACCAACGUGAGAUACAACCAGAAAGACACAGAAGAUUAACAGAAGAUUCAAGCUGAGAGAAAUCCUUUUUGGAAGAACUUCCAUGGCAGAAAUUUGAGAGAGAUGAUCAAUUGCUUCUCGGUUCUAAGUAGAAUGAACGCAGUAUCUUUAAGAUUCAGUUCAUCUUCAUUGGCCAGCGCGGG